rnacentral:lncRNA from 1 species
GCGCGGGGCCCGCGGCUCCCACCCUGGGGACGCGCCUGCCUCCCAGCCGGUCCUGUUUGAGGACGGGGCGGGACGGGGAGGCUCGCGGGGGCUAGAAGCCACACGUUUCUUUUUUUUUCUGCAGUUUCUGGAAAGUGAGCCCAUACUUCGGUGCCCACGACCCGAAGCCCUCGGGUGCUCCCGAAGUUCGUUCGGAUUUCGAGCCCCGCCGCCUUUGUGGAAGGUGCAGUUACACCUGUAGGGGGACGGGGAGGGGAGCCCGCGUUUCCCAUCCAGGCAACGACCCGAGCCGGUGCAGCAGCAGGACCGUGGGGGCAGGUGCAGGUGCUCGGCGCGGGCGUCCUUGCUGCCUUCUCUGGGAGGUUUCGUGUUGGUGCUUGAGGGAGCUGCAGCAUGCCCGGCGUUGCUCUGUGCGAGGACGUGGUCCAGAGCCCCUCUGGAGGCAGAAGGCUGCCAGCUAUCGUGUAACCCAUACCCAGACAGCUGAUGGAAGAUUUUGCUUCUCCUUCCUCCAAGCUUUUGGAAAGUAAUAAAAGCAACGUAGAAAACGAGCAACUCAGGAAAUGGGUUGAAAGAGGAGGAGUUUGGAAUGUUCCACCACUUUACCUUAGGGAAUGGGGGGAGCUCUAGUGCAGCACUUGGAAUUACCUGCCACCUGUCGUUGUAUUGGAAGAAGCAGAGCUCAGAGAAACUGCCACGUGAUCUUCCUGAGAAGGUUUGCCUCUGUAAAGCUUAGUAAGACCGAAGGUAGACAACUCAUCCUACCUUUUGACCAGGUGUCCUUGUUGUUGUUGCUGUUUGUUUUUUGUUUUUAAAGGAAGAGAGGUAAUAAUUGUGUGAUGCAGCCUGUAGGGAGUAAACAAAACACCUCUGUGUUUAAUAAGUCUUUCAUUUAUUAAUUUU